CUACUCUCCCUCUUUCCCGAUAUUCACAAAUUCUCUGUUAUCUCUGGAGAUCAAAAAAAAAAAAGCCCUAAUCUCACUGCUCUCUCCCUCCCUCUCACCCAGUCCUCACUCUAUCUCUCUUGCAGCGGCAACAGCAGCGUAUAGGUAACCCUCUUCUUUCCUCUCGCUGUUGCUCACGCAUACCUUCUUUAUCACCCAGUCGUCGUUCUGUCUCUCUUGCAGCGGCAACAACAACGUCUGUAACAGUGGCAACAACAGCGUUUGCAGCAUCGUCUCUCUUCCAGUGGCAACAACAACGUCUCUCUGGUUCUCCCUCCGGCAUCCAAGUCCCAAUGGUAGCGGCAAAAGCUCACUUUUCCGAGUUUUAGGAGGACUUUGACCACUGGUGUCUAGCCAUAUUAUGAAACCUGGAUUUCGUUAUGAUCUUAAUAAGGAGAUUUUCUAUAUGCCACAAUGACCAUAUACAGCAGUAGGAACUCUUCGCGACCAGUUAAUCAAUCCCCUUACUGCAGAUCAAGAGGCUGAGCCACUGACACACAGUGAAAUGGUUGAAUUGUUGAAAAAUAUAAGAAAUUUAGCCAUGUCAUUUUCAUUUAGUCUCUCUUGCCAUGGUACUCAGUCAUCUCUUGACUCUUAAAGAAGUCAUAAAUUCAACUUGGAUUGACUUUUAGUGGAAAAUUUUUGUCAUUUUACUAGAUUGAUCUUGAGUACUUAUUAGAUCGUUACUCGUCUGAAAUAGAGAUAAAUUGGGGUGAUGAACUAUCUUUGGGAGAACAACAAAGAUUGGGAAUGGCCAGACUCUUUUACCAUAAGCCCAAAUUUGCUAUUCUUGAUGAAUGCACCAGUGCCGUGACAACUGAGAUGGAGGAGCGCUUCUGUGCCAAGGUCAGAGCAAUGGAACCAUCUUGCAUCACCAUAUCCCCUCGCCCUGUACUGGUGGCAUCUCAUGAUGUGGUUCUGUCCUUGGAUGGUGAAGGAGGCUGGCAAGUUUAUUACAAGAGGGAGGACUCUGCAGUUCUUGGUGAAGCUGGGGUCAAUAUGAUGAAACCUUCGAAACAGAACACCAAAGUGAUGCUAUGGCAGUUCAACGUGCAUUUGCCAGUGCAAAAAAGGAUUCUUCAAUCUCAAAUUGAAAGUCACAAUCAUAUGUUUUGAAGCUAAUAGCAGCAUCCCCCCUCCUAUGAAUCACGAUGUUCCAUUGCCCCUAGUUCCACAACUCCAAACUGCUCCAAGGUUAUUGUCGUUGAGAGUAGCUGCCAUGUUUAAAAUCCUGUUCUUAGGUACCCACAGUGCUUGAUGAGCAGGGAGCAUAACUCCUUGCAAUUGCUGUACUUGUGAUUUCGAGAACUUGGAUAUCAGAUUGCAUUGUCUCUUUAAAUAGUAUUCUUUUUUUUAUUAUUAUUUUCCUAAAUUAAUUAAACUUUAUGAUGUUCUUGGAAAUUGAGAAGCUUUUGUGAUUUAAAUGCGUUGGUUUUUUCAGGGACAAUUGUAAAAUAUGUUUUAGAGCAAGAUAAGGCGGCCUUCACUCGGUUGAUUGGUGUUAGUAUUCUUCAGAGUGCUGCAUCUUCUUUCGUUGCACCUUCUUUGAGAUGCAAACCUUUUGAGUACGUGAUAUCUUCGCAUAUCGAUAUGGGAGCUUGCUAUUGAUAUCAAAACAAGCUACACUAUAUCUGUUUUUAUUUUUUUAUUUUUUUAUUUCUAUUGUCAAUACUAAAAAUUUGAGUUCUUGAAUUUCAAAAAUUAUUAGUAUUGUUAGAGGUUAUUUUAUAUAUUUUUGUAAAGAAUAUUUCAUUGACAAUUGUUAUAAGGUACAUAUAUUA